CUUUUGAAAAAUAAUAUUUAAAAAAAAAAAAAUAAAUAUGAAGACUUGAAGGUAGUUUCUCUGUAAGGCCCAUGAAGGUGGUCUUGGUCUUUCUCUGUUUUUGAUAUAAAACCAAACACAGGAGAGUCAUAUUUUGCAAGUCUCGAGAAGUCCUUGGCCUCCUGGCUUCUUGUCGUCUGUCUCCUAAAUUUCCAUACACAGUCUCAGCUCUUAAAAUCUGAAAAUCUUGUUCUUGUCUUGUUUUGUUUUUGGUUAUCGGAAAUGAGUGACCCCAAGUAUGCUUAUCCUUACCCUGCUCAAGGAUAUUAUCAAGGACCCCCAGUGAUGGCCCCUCCACAAUAUGCUGCACCACCACCCAGAAGAGAGCCUGGUUUCCUUGAAGGAUGCCUUGCAGCUUUGUGUUGCUGCUGCCUUAUUGACGAGUGUUGCUGUGACCCAUCCAUCAUCUUUGUUUGCUGAUAAAGUUGUAACUGCUUCUUCCACAGAAUAAUUAAUUCUAGUUUUAUAAUCAUGUGUGGAGUUGUUGAUCUAUAACAUUUCAAUAUAAUUAUGUAUCACGUUUGUGUUCAA